rnacentral:rRNA from 1 species
AUUGAACGCUGGCGGCAUGCUUUACACAUGCAAGUCGGACGGCAGCACAGAGAAGCUUGCUUCUUGGGUGGCGAGUGGCGAACGGGUGAGUAACAUAUCGGAACGUACCGAGUAAUGGGGGAUAACUAAUCGAAAGAUUAGCUAAUACCGCAUAUUCUCUGAGGAGGAAAGCAGGGGACCUUUUGGCCUUGCGUUAUUCGAGCGGCCGAUAUCUGAUUAGCUAGUUGGUGGGGUAAAGGCCUACCAAGGCGACGAUCAGUAGCGGGUCUGAGAGGAUGAUCCGCCACACUGGGACUGAGACACGGCCCAGACUCCUACGGGAGGCAGCAGUGGGGAAUUUUGGACAAUGGGCGCAAGCCUGAUCCAGCCAUGCCGCGUGUCUGAAGAAGGCCUUCGGGUUGUAAAGGACUUUUGUCAGGGAAGAAAAGGCUGUUGCUAAUAUCGACAGCUGAUGACGGUACCUGAAGAAUAAGCACCGGCUAACUACGUGCCAGCAGCCGCGGUAAUACGUAGGGUGCGAGCGUUAAUCGGAAUUACUGGGCGUAAAGCGAGCGCAGACGGUUACUUAAGCAGGAUGUGAAAUCCCCGGGCUCAACCUGGGAACUGCGUUCUGAACUGGGUGACUAGAGUGUGUCAGAGGGAGGUAGAAUUCCACGUGUAGCAGUGAAAUGCGUAGAGAUGUGGAGGAAUACCGAUGGCGAAGGCAGCCUCCUGGGAUAACACUGACGUUCAUGCUCGAAAGCGUGGGUAGCAAAACAGG